CAGUGGGGAAUAUUGGACAAUGGGCGAAAGCCUGAUCCAGCCAUGCCGCGUGUGUGAAGAAGGUCUUCGGAUUGUAAAGCACUUUAAGUUGGGAGGAAGGGCAGUUACUUAAUACGUGACUGUCUUGACGUUACCGACAGAAUAAGCACCGGCUAACUCUGUGCCAGCAGCCGCGGUAAUACAGAGGGUGCAAGCGUUAAUCGGAAUUACUGGGCGUAAAGCGCGCGUAGGUGGUUCGUUAAGUUGGAUGUGAAAUCCCCGGGCUCAACCUGGGAACUGCAUUCAAAACUGUCGAGCUAGAGUAUGGUAGAGGGUGGUGGAAUUUCCUGUGUAGCGGUGAAAUGCGUAGAUAUAGGAAGGAACACCAGUGGCGAAGGCGACCACCUGGACUGAUACUGACACUGAGGUGCGAAAGCGUGGGGAGCAAACAGGAUUA
rnacentral:rRNA from 1 species